rnacentral:rRNA from 1 species
CAGUCGCCACGGUAAUACGUAGGUGGCAAGCGUUGUCCGGAAUUAUUGGGCGUAAAGGGCUCGCAGGCGGUUUCUUAAGUCUGAUGUGGAAGCCCCCGGCUCAACCGGGGAGGGUCAUUGGAAACUGGGAAACUUGAGUGCAGAAGAGGAGAGUGGAAUUCCACGUGUAGCGGUGAAAUGCGUAGAGAUGUGGAGGAACACCAGUGGCGAAGGCGACUCUCUGGUCUGUAACUGACGCUGAGGAGCGAAAGCGUGGGGAGCGAACAGGAUUAGAUACCCGAGUAGUCCCUGUCUCUUAUAC